GAUGAAGAACGUAGCGAAAUGCGAUAAGUAAUGUGAAUUGCAGAAUUCAGUGAAUCAUCGAAUCUUUGAGCGCACAUUGCGCCCGCCAGUAUUCUGGCGGGCAUGCCUGUUCGAGCGUCAUUACAACCCUCAGGCCCCCGGGCCUGGCGUUGGGGAUCGGCAGAAGCCCCCUGUGGGCACACGCCGUCCCUCAAAUACAGUGGCGGUCCCGCCGCAGCUUCCAUUGCGUAGUAGCUAACACCUCGCAACUGGAGAGCGGCGCGGCCAUGCCGUAAAACACCCAACUUCUGAAUGUUGACCUCGAAUCAGGUAGGAAUACCCGCUGAACUUAAGCAUAUCAAUAAGCGGAGGA
rnacentral:misc_RNA from 1 species